CCUACGGGGGGCAGCAGUGAGGAAUAUUGGUCAAUGGACGCGAGUCUGAACCAGCCAAGUAGCGUGAAGGAUGACUGCCCUAUGGGUUGUAAACUUCUUUUAUAUGGGAAUAAAGUUUUCCACGUGUGGAAUUUUGUAUGUACCAUAUGAAUAAGGAUCGGCUAACUCCGUGCCAGCAGCCGCGGUAAUACGGAGGAUCCGAGCGUUAUCCGGAUUUAUUGGGUUUAAAGGGAGCGUAGAUGGAUGUUUAAGUCAGUUGUGAAAGUUUGCGGCUCAACCGUAAAAUUGCAGUUGAUACUGGAUAUCUUGAGUGCAGUUGAGGCAGGCGGAAUUCGUGGUGUAGCGGUGAAAUGCUUAGAUAUCACGAAGAACUCCGAUUGCGAAGGCAGCCUGCUAAGCUGCAACUGACAUUGAGGCUCGAAAG
rnacentral:rRNA from 1 species